AACGAACGCUGGCGGCAUGCCUAACACAUGCAAGUCGAACGAGACCUUCGGGUCUAGUGGCGCACGGGUGCGUAACGCGUGGGAACCUGCCCUUAGGUUCGGAAUAACUCCCCGAAAGGGGUGCUAAUACGGGAUAAUGUCUUCGGACCAAAGAUUUAUCGCCUUUGGAUGGGCCCGCGUUGGAUUAGCUAGUUGGUAGGGUAAAAGCCUACCAAGGCGACGAUCCAUAGCUGGUCUGAGAGGAUGAUCAGCCACACUGGGACUGAGACACGGCCCAGACUCCUACGGGAAGUAGCAGUGGGGAAUAUUGGACAAUGGGCGAAAGCCUGAUCCAGCAAUGCCGCGUGAGUGAUGAAGGCCUUAGGGUUGUAAAGCUCUUUUACCCGGGAUGAUAAUGACAGUACCGGGAGAAUAAGCUCCGGCUAACUCCGUG
rnacentral:rRNA from 1 species